GAUGAACGCUGGCGGCGUGCCUAAUACAUGCAAGUCGAGCGAACAGACGAGGAGCUUGCUCCUCUGACGUUAGCGGCGGACGGGUGAGUAACACAUGGAUAACCUACCUAUAAGACUGGGAUAACUUCGGGAAACCGGAGCUAAUACCGGAUAAUAUAUUGAACCGCAUGGUUCAAUAGUGAAAGACGGUUUUGCUGUCACUUAUAGAUGGAUCCGCGCCGCAUUAGCUAGUUGGUAAGGUAACGGCUUACCAAGGCAACGAUGCGUAGCCGACCUGAGAGGGUGAUCGGCCACACUGGAACUGAGACACGGACCAGACUCCUACGGGAGGCAGCAGUAGGGAAUCUUCCGCAAAGGGCGAAAGCUUGACGGAGCAACGCCGCGUGAGUGAUGAAGGUCUUCGGAUCGUAAAACUCUGUUAUUAGGGAAGAACAAAUGUGUACGUAACUAUGCACGUAUUGACGGUACCUAAUCAGAAAGCCACGGCUAACUACGUG
rnacentral:rRNA from 1 species